UUUUACUAUUGGUGUUUGGCAUAUUAUUUUUUGAUAAUAAAGGUUUAUUAGUAAUAAUUUUUAUGUUAUUUUUUUUAGAUUUUUUAGAAGUUAUUUUUUAUUUUUUGUUUUGUUUUAAUUAAUUAUUUCUUUUUGUAUAAAGGGAGGAAGAGGAUACUGAUCUUUUUUUUUUCUCGAAUACCUUUGAUCUAACUUUAUUUUUUUUGAAUGUGGAAUUUUAGAAAUUUUUGUUAGGUGUUUUAUGCUUUUCGUUUUGGUUGAUAUCUAGUUUUUUAUUUUUUUUGAGGGAUAAGCUUUUUUGUUUUAAGAAUUUUUUUUUGUUUUUUGAUAAAAUUAGAAUUUUUUUGAUUUUUUUGUAAUAAAUUUUUGUUUUUUAUUAUUUUUCUAUGAUUAUUUUAUUUUAUUGAUUUUUUUAUUAUUUUCUUAUUAGUAGAAUUUUCUUUUAUUUCUUUUUUAUUUUUUAAGUUAUUUUAUUUUUUAUUUUAGAACUAGAAGUUGGAAGCCUUAAAUUUUUAUCAAAAUUUUUUCUUUAUUUUUUUGAAGUAUUACCUGCUCUAUGAUUUUUAAAUGGCCACGUUAUUGUGCUAAGGUAGCAUAAUAAUUUGGUUUUUAAUUAAGAUCUUGAAUGAAGGGUAGAAUAAGGUUUCUUUUUCCAUGUAAAUUAGUUUGAACUUGGUUAUUUCUUGAAAAUGAGAAUUGUUUUUAAAAAGACGAGAAGACCUUAGAAUUUUAAGUCUUUUGACUUUAACUGGGGACGUUUUUUUAAAUUAAGAUUAUUUUUUUUUAUUUGAACUUUUUGGGAAUUUUUUGAAAAUACUCUAGGGAUAACAGUGUAAUUUUUUUAGAAAGAUCAAAUUUUUAUUGAAGUUUACUACCUCGAUGUUGGUUUUUUAUUACCUUAGGAGGCAGUAUAUCUAAGAGGUUAGUCUGUUCGACUUUUAAAUUAAAACAUGAGCUGAGUUCAAGUCGGUGUGAGCCAGACUGGAUUUUAUCUUUUUAUUUUUUAUAGGGUUGAUAGUACGAAAGGACUUUUUCUCUUUUUUGU
rnacentral:rRNA from 1 species